UACAGAGGUGGCAAGCGUUGUUCGGAAUUACUGGGCGUAAAGGGCGCGUAGGCGGUCUUGUAAGUCUCGUGUGAAAUCCCUCGGCUCAACUGAGGAACUGCACGAGAUACUGCGAGACUUGAGUUCGGGAGAGGGAAGCGGAAUUCCGGGUGUAGCGGUGAAAUGCGUAGAUAUCCGGAGGAACACCGGUGGCGAAGGCGGCUUCCUGGACCGAUCACUGACGCUGAGGCGCGAAAGCUAGGGGAGCAAACGGG
rnacentral:rRNA from 1 species